ACGGCUUUAAGGUGGUUCGCACCGGGUUUACCGGUGAGGAAAGUCCGGACUCCACAGGGCAGGAAGCUGCCGAAAGGCAGGUGGGGGUAACCUCACAGAAAGGGCCACAGAAAACAGACUGCCAAUCCGCACACCUUUUAUAGGUGUGGUCAUGGAGGCAAAGGUGAAAAAGUGGGGUAAGAGCCCACUACCUACGGUGGUGACAUCGUAGGUUGGCAACCCUCUUCCGGAGCAAUCCCAAGUAGGAAGGCGCUAUUAGGUUGGCCCGACCGAUGCCUUCGGGUAGGGAGCUUAGAUAAAUGACCACUAAAACAGAAUCCGGCUUACUCUAAAGCCGUAGCC
rnacentral:RNase_P_RNA from 1 species